rnacentral:rRNA from 1 species
CCUACGGGUGGCAGCAGUGAGGAAUAUUGGUCAAUGGGCGGAAGCCUGAACCAGCCAAGUAGCGUGCGGGAUGAAGGCCCUACGGGUCGUAAACCGCUUUUGCACGGGGAUAAAACCCUCCACUUGUGGAGGUCUGCAUGUACCGUACGAAUAAGGGCCGGCUAAUUCCGUGCCAGCAGCCGCGGUAAUACGGAAGGCCCGAGCGUUAUCCGGAUUCAUUGGGCUUAAAGGGAGGGUAGGAGGGCGAUCAAGUCAGUUGUAAAAUCGCGCGGCGCAACGGUACCACGCAGUUGAAACUGGAAGCCUUGAGUUCACAACAGGCAGGCGGAAUUCGUGGUGUAGCGGUGAAAUGCAUAGAUAUCACGAGGAACGCCGAUUGCGAAGGCAGCUUGCCGGGGUGCGACUGACGCUGAGGCUCGAAGGUGCGGGUAUCAAACAGGAUUAGAUACCCUUGUAGUC